GCUUUGGCACUUGGAUGAUGCACCACAGGGGUGGGCAAAGUCCUUCUGCACAUCACACACUCGCCGCCUGUUCUGCUCUCCCCUGCCAGCUUUGCCCUGAGAUGCUCCUGUCCUUUGCUACUCACAGGUGGUGGGAGAGUAGAGAAGGAAACAAGGGGAGAGUGCCUUCUCAUCCUCAUGACUUCUCCACCUUACAGCACUCAAGAUGGUGUUCUUGUAAUGGGGACAAGAGGGGAGCCCCCAUGAACAUAAGCCUGACACCAUCUUUGUCAAUUGGUGCAAGGUGGUGGUCAGCAAAGGGUGCUUUCUCAGGGUGUUUUUUCUUCUCAAGGACCAAGGCCUCAGCGGGGUUCGCAGCUUAAAGCCUUGGUGACUUCAGACUGUGCAUAAGGAAGGCAUUUUUUAUUAUAAGGGUGGUGAGGCACUGGAACAGGUUGCCCGAGGAUGCUGUGGAUAACCCAUUCCUAAAAAUGUUCAAAAUCAGGUUUGAUGAGGCUUCAAGCAAUCUGAUCUUCUGAGAGAUGCGCCUCCCCCUGGCAGGAGGGUUUGACUAGGUGAUAUUUAAAGGUCUUUUUCAAUCUAAACCAUUCUGUGGUUUUAUGAUAGAUAUGGCUCAUAAUUCUAGUUCACAUCUGAUGGCAGUUCAGGGACUGUGCUGCUGGGGUUCCUCCUGUCCAGUUUGCAAAUAACAGUACUCAUUUUAGCCUGUGUAUUCAUUGACAGAGGCUUGCCUUCAGUUGCAAGUUUGCUGAAAAGAUGCUGGAGUGAGAGGGGUGGUACUGGCUCAUUGUGGAGUAUCAGUCCUAAGUACAUUCUGAUGACUAACUGGUGCUGCUAGGAAAGGAUCCAAGAAAGAAGAGAGUUCUUUACUUAACAUGGAGCAAAAAGAAAUUAUUAGAAAAGGCUGGAUGAAGCUUAAUGAAGUCUAUUCAGUCACAGCAGGAUAAACCAUUGCGAGAUCAGAUGAGGCCCUGUGCUGUGGGUGAGAGCAAGACCUUUGAGUUGUGAGUGUUCUCAUUCUUUUCAUUGUUCCUCAAUCCAUCUUUAUGUAGUACGUAGCUUCUGUUGUUAGCACCAUUUGAACAUAAAAGGUAAUUUCAAAGCACACUUCUUUUUACAUUUAUGGAAAAAUUAGAAGUUAUUGUGAUUUUUCUGGCAAUAGAAAAAUAUUUUAUGCAAUUCAGCAUGCUCAGUUUGGGGGAUGGGAUUACAAAGAUUCACUUCAACUCCCCACAAAAGCAGCUCCUGUGACUAUUUCAAAGGCUAGUCUGAAAUUUACCUGAAUUCAUGAAAAAUACCUGUUUCCAGAUGGCAAAAUAUUUUUUUAUUGGUGCCAAACAAAAACAUCCUCCUUGGUAUGAUAACUCUAUUUGUAGUUUGCUUUCUAGCACUUAUUCUAUGAGUAUGGGGACAAAGAAAAAUGGUAAAAUAAGAAAGAAACAAAUCAGCGAUGUUUGUUUUUCUUUGAAAGCACAACAGGACUGCUUGCUAAAUAUAGAUUGCCCUUUAAAAAUUGGAGGAAAAAAAGUAAAGUAAAUAACUACUUUUAUUUUAUUUUGUAACCCUCUUUUGGACAUCUGCGGUGCACUGCAGCAUUGAUACUGGAUCAUAAAAUGGCAUCCCACUUAGUCAUUGUGAAGCAUGCUCAACAAUCAAUCAAAAAUCAGCUGAAAGUAAAAUCUCCUGAAGGCAGCCUAGAUCUGAUUGGAUUUGUCUUUAUGUGUGUGUACAUAGUUGUGAGGUAUGGAAGUGUUAAAUAUAAAUGGCAUGCAUACAAACUACACUAGGAUUUAAAACAUAUAUUGUACAUUCUGCAAAGUGUUUGCUUCUGCAUAUCUCUUAUUCUAAAGAAAUAACCAGUUUGAUAAAAAUAGUUUCCAGAGAGCUAAAAUUGUCAUUGCUUUUUAAUUUAAACAAAAGUUAUUGCAAAUAUAUAUCAUGUCAAUUAAAGCAGUUUCAUUGCUUACAGCAUAUAGGAAAUAAAAUUCCAUAAUUACAUUGCCACGUGGAUAGUAGCACAACUUCCAAGGUUCAAAGGUCACUGACAAUUAGCAUAAAAUUUAA